UACAGAGGGUGCGAGCGUUAAUCGGAAUUACUGGGCUUAAAGGGUGCGUAGGCGGCGCAGUAAGUUGGGUGUGAAAUCCCUCGGCUUAACCGAGGAAUUGCGCCCAAAACUACUGUGCUCGAGGGAGGUAGAGGUGAGCGGAACUUAGGGUGGAGCGGUGAAAUGCGUUGAUAUCCUAAGGAACACCGGUGGCGAAAGCGGCUCACUGGACCUCUUCUGACGCUGAGGCACGAAAGCUAGGGUAGCAAACGGG
rnacentral:rRNA from 1 species